rnacentral:rRNA from 1 species
UACGAAGGGGGCUAGCGUUGUUCGGAAUUACUGGGCGUAAAGGGCGCGUAGGCGGUGUGUCAAGUCAGGCGUGAAAGCCCCGGGCUCAACCUGGGAACCGCGCUUGAGACUGGCACGCUCGAGUUCGGGAGAGGAUGGUGGAAUUCCCAGUGUAGAGGUGAAAUUCGUAGAUAUUGGGAAGAAAACCGAUGGCGAAGGCAGCCAUCUGGACCGACACUGACGCUGAGGCGCGAAAGCGUGGGGAGCAAACAGG